GAAUUGUUGAAACGAACAUGUCAAAACCUCACCGAGGAGGGACUGAAGGAAGACCAUCUGAUAAUCGUGGUGGUCCGAGGAGGAAUCGCCUGAGUUGCGGAUGAGGGCGCAGAUAACACAUAAGCGUCUAUCUACGGUAGUUUAUUGUUUUUGCCAUUUGAUAUAGGAGUGAUCGGGGCAAUAUGGGCCACCUAAGGAAAUCGUUCCGAAAAGCGCUGAAAAGCUCAACAAAUCAUCAUCAGUUGGAAGAUGUGCAGAAGCGCAUAUCGACGUCAUCGUCGCACGCAAUCUUCCUCGGCCUGCCGGGAUCGACGUCAUCGGUAGCAUCGUCGGAUGAUGCCAGCGCUCAGACGCGUCCACUGCGUAAUCUCGUGUCCUACCUGAAGCAGAAAGAAGCGGCCGGCGUUAUAUCCUUACUCAAUAAGGAAACGGAAGCAACCGGUGUGCUCUACUCAUUCCCGCCAAGCGAUUUUUCGACAGAAUUGUUGAAACGAACAUGUCACAACCUCACCGAGGAGGGACUGAAGGAAGACCAUCUGGUAAUCGUGGUGGUCCGAGGAGGAACCGCCUGAGUUGCGGAUGAGGGCGCAGAUAACACAUAAGGUCAAUAAUUGCUGGUGAUGACGAGGCUUCAACGCUGGCGUUUGCCCUAAAGACAGCAUUGCCAGCGGACGUUAAUGUAGCUGCUCCAUAGCAUUAAUCGCAUCUCUUGAUCUCCAACCGGGUUCUCGAGUGCUGCGA